rnacentral:rRNA from 1 species
GGCCGCGUCGACCGGCUCACCAAGGCGACGAUACAUAGCCGACCUGAGAGGGUGAUCGGCCACACUGGGACUGAGACACGGCCCAGACUCCUACGGGAGGCAGCAGUAGGGAAUCUUCGGCAAUGGACGGAAGUCUGACCGAGCAACGCCGCGUGAGUGAAGAAGGUUUUCGGAUCGUAAAGCUCUGUUGUAAGAGAAGAACGAGUGUGAGAGUGGAAAGUUCACACUGUGACGGUAUCUUACCAGAAAGGGACGGCUAACUACGUGCCAGCAGCCGCGGUAAUACGUAGGUCCCGAGCGUUGUCCGGAUUUAUUGGGCGUAAAGCGAGCGCAGGCGGUUAGAUAAGUCUGAAGUUAAAGGCUGUGGCUUAACCAUAGUACGCUUUGGAAACUGUUUAACUUGAGUGCAAGAGGGGAGAGUGGAAUUCCAUGUGUAGCGGUGAAAUGCGUAGAUAUAUGGAGGAACACCGGUGGCGAAAGCGGCGUCGACGCGGCCG